GGCCGCCUGGCGCAAUGGUAGCGCGUCCGCCUACGAUCACCUGAUGGGUAGCGGGAGGUUGCAAGUUCGAUCCUUGCGGCGGUCA